rnacentral:rRNA from 1 species
UACAGAGGUCUCGAGCGUUGUUCGGAUUCAUUGGGCGUAAAGGGCGCGUAGGCUGCGGGGCAAGUCGGGUGUGAAAUCCCAGAGCUCAACUCUGAAACUGCACUCGAUACUGCUUUGCUUGAGGACUGGAGAGGAGAUUGGAAUUCACGGUGUAGCAGUGAAAUGCGUAGAUAUCGUGAGGAAGACCAGUGGCGAAGGCGGAUCUCUGGACAGUUCCUGACGCUGAGGCGCGAAGGCCAGGGGAGCAAACAGG